rnacentral:tRNA from 1 species
GCCGAAGUGGCGGAAUGGCAGACGCGCACGUUUGAGGGGCGUGUGGGGAAACCCGUCCGGGUUCAAGUCCCGGCUUCGGCACCA